rnacentral:lncRNA from 1 species
UAUAUAUCGGUAGCAUAAAUAAUACUGCAGCUGAGUGGAGGGAGAGGAAGAGAGAGGAGAAACAGAGGGUUAAAAAACAAGCUUAUCUUCAGCUCUCCUGCCCUACUCUCUGUUCCACACUCCCUGAAUGAUUUUUAGUCUUUAUUGUUUUUAAUUUUUAAUUGCGCAUCUUGUAAAGGCAUUUAAAGUAUACAGAAAAAGGAACUCAGAAGCCAGAAAAAAUGACCAAGACACAGUCUCCAUCUUCAAAAGGUCACAGUCCUUCAGAGAAGACAGACAACUAAAUAAAUUCCAGCUGACUAUAAUGUAAAUAUGUAUAGAAUCAUAUGGAAGCAUACAAGAAAAAGCAAUGAUUUACUUGACAGACAAUGGAAAUUUCAAAGCAAAAAAGUAUAUUUCAUAUGGUUAUUAGGGGAUGAGCACAACUUUGUCAAGCAGACAAAGGAAUAAAAAAUUGCAAAUAACAAUUAUUGAGCUCAUUGGUGCC